UACGUAGGGGGCUAGCGUUGUCCGGAAUCAUUGGGCGUAAAGAGCGUGUAGGCGGUCCGGUAAGUCCGCUGCGAAAGUCGGGGGCUCAACCCUCGAAUGCCGGUGGAUACUGUCGGGCUAGAGUGCGGAAGAGGCGAGUGGAAUUCCUGGUGUAGCGGUGAAAUGCGCAGAUAUCAGGAGGAACACCGGUGGCGAAGGCGGAUCUCUGGGCCGUAACUGACGCUGAGGAGCGAAAGCAUGGGGAGCGAACAGG
rnacentral:rRNA from 1 species